AUUGAACGCUGGCGGCAGGCCUAACACAUGCAAGUCGAACGAGUGGCGGACGGGUGAGUAAUGUCUGGGAAACUGCCUGAUGGAGGGGGAUAACUACUGGAAACGGUAGCUAAUACCGCAUACCAUCGGAUGUGCCCAGAUGGGAUUAGCUAGUAGGUGGGGUAAAGGCUCACCUAGGCGACGAUCCCUAGCUGGUCUGAGAGGAGGACCAGCCCAACUGGGACUGCGACACGGUCCGGCGUCCUACGGGAGGCAGCAGUGGGGAAUAUGGGCCAAUGGGCGAAAGCCUGAUGCAGCCAUGCCGCGUGUAUGAAGAAGGCCUUCGGGUUGUAAAGUACUUUCAGCGGGGAGGCGUUACCCGCAGAAGAAGCACCGGCUAACUCCGUGCCAGCAGCCGCGGUAAUAC
rnacentral:rRNA from 1 species